GGAACAAUGAUGACUCCCCUCAGAAGCAUUCCUUGGAAAGCUAAACAAAAUGAGUGAGAACCCAGGGCUAAGCUAAGGGGCUGGGCUCC
rnacentral:snoRNA from 1 species